rnacentral:rRNA from 1 species
UACGUAGGUGGCAAGCGUUGUCCGGAUUUACUGGGCGUAAAGGUUGCGUAGGCGGACAUUUAAGUCAGAUGUGAAAUACCCGAGCUUAACUUGGGUGCUGCAUUUGAAACUGGGUGUCUAGAGUGCAGGAGAGGUAAGUGGAAUUCCUAGUGUAGCGGUGAAAUGCGUAGAGAUUAGGAAGAACACCAGUGGCGAAGGCGACUUACUGGACUGUAACUGACGCUGAGGCAUGAAAGCGUGGGGAUCAAACAGG